AUCAAAUUAUUGAACAGAUAACCAAAAAUAUCAUUGCAACAAUAACCACUGUAAGCAACACAAUCAAACCUGUCGUGACAACACUGUUGUGGCAUCCAAGUGAGCAAAGGUGGUGGCAGGAGCAGGAUCUGUCAAAUCAUCAGCAGGCACAUAGAUAGCUUGGACAGAGGUAAUUGAACCCUUCUUUGUGGUUGUAAUACGCUCUUGAAGACCUCCAAGAUCGGUAGACAAUGUUGGUUGGUAACCAACAGCAGAUGGGAUACGACCAAGUAAAGCAGACACCUCUGAGUUUGCCUGCAAUUGCAUGAUGACAUCACAUUUUUGAAAUGAAAAGUAAUAACAUUUUAAACUGAUAAGUAAGAACAAAUGAACAAUAUUGUAGAAAAAAAGACAACACAUUCUAUAUAAUUUGUCCUUACUUGGGUAAAGCGGAAAAUGUUGUCAACAAAAAGAAGCACAUCCUGUCCUUCAGCAUCACGGAAGUGUUCAGCAACAGUAAGUCCAGUUAGACCAACACGGGCACGAGCACCCGGGGGUUCGUUCAUUUGACCAUACACUAGAGCACAUUUGCUUUCACUCUGAAUUUAUGAAAAAACCAUGGUUAGCAACUUUGAUAAAUGAAUACAUUAUAAAUAAAAUCAUUGAAUAUGGACCCUAAAUAACAUUCCGCUCACCUGUUUAUCGCCUAGCUUAAUGACACCACUCUCAAUCAUUUCUCUGUACAAGUCAUUACCCUCUCGUGUUCGUUCUCCAACACCAGCAAACACGGAGAACCCACCUAUUAAAUGGAACCAGUGAGCAUACAUUGCAGAUAAAUAGUUUCUCAACAAUUAAUAAUUAAGAGCUUUAAGCAGCAUAUACCAUGAGCCUUAGCAACAUUGUUGAUAAGUUCCAUAAUAAGCACAGUUUUUCCUACACCGGCACCACCAAACAAUCCAAUCUUUCCUCCUCUUUGGUAUGGUGCAAGCAUGUCAACAACCUGUAUGGAAGAAAUUAAUGAAAAUUAGAUUCCUAGCAUGCUAAUAGUGAUGGAACUGGGAAAGAUAGCAUUGCCGAACAAACAAAAGACAGUAAGAAUCAACAAAUAAAAAUACCUUGAUACCAGUAACAAGAAUCUCUUGUUCAGUUGCUUGCUCAACAAAAGCAGGUGCUUCUCUGUGAAUGGGCAAAUAAUGCUCGGUUUCUAAGGCAAGUGACAAAAAUUACCAUUAGUUAAAAGCACCCCACAGAAAUGAUAGAAAAAGCUCUAGUCUAAGCCCAGACAUGAAAACACUUCAUAGAUUUCUUACUUAGUUCACCCUUCUCAUCAAUAGGCUCUCCAAUAACAUUCAUGAUACGACCAAGGGUAGCCCUACCAACAGGAACCUAUACAGAAUACAUAAGUUAAUUAGAAAAUGAUGCUUAAUUAAAUGCUAGUGACAGACCCAAAUACAAAAACCCAGAUGGCAAAUCCACGAUGCAAAAUAUAAGUCAAAAAGAAAGCGCAGAAUUGGACUAGUAGGAUUAGAUCAUAAGAACCACAGGCCUGUUUGGAUUUAUAUAAAAUUUAAAACAGUAUUUAGUAACAACAGCACCAUAAAACCAGUGGAAAUCUACUUUCAAAAACACGAAAUUCUGGAUGAGUAUUCUAAAAUUAAAAUUUAAGCACAUCAAUCAAAAUUCAUUACAGGAAAGUGUCCAAUGUUUUCACUCUGCUUCAAGUGCAAUUAAAAUGAAUCCAGGAAAUGAAGACAGAUAACAUUAACACAACCAAACAGACCCUUAAAUUACUUUCAAUGAACUAUACAAUAACAUGACCGUGAAAAAGAUUACAACACACACCAAUUUCAGCGGUUCAUUAUAACUAUUUAUUCAACUGAAUGCAAGAUAAAGACAACCAAUAAUUUUAAACACUAAACUGGUUCCUUUCAACAACUACAAAAGCGGUAAGCUCACAUACACAUUCAAAAAACAGAUCAAAUUUUCUUCUUAAAAAACAUUAAAAAAUUGGUCAAUUCGAUAAGGCAAAAAACACAUCUGGAUCCACGAAACGCAAACUAAAGAUUCGGAACAAAAUUGUCUAAAAAUCAGAUCUUGCAAUCCGUAACAACACCAACAAAGUCAAAAUAAUUCAAAACUACAACCAAUAAAUUAUAAUUGAAACAAAUAAGAAGUGAUUCGGAAUUUACAGUGAUUGGGGAACCAGUGUUGAGCACGCGCCAUCCUCUAACGACACCUUCAGUAGCAUCCAUAGCAAUAGUUCUGACAACACCUUCACCCAAAUGCUGUGCAACCUCCAACACCAAUCGUGUCUCAUGAUCCAAAAUCUCAAGUGCGGUCAAGAUCGGAGGCAAACCCUCUUCGAAUCUGACAUCGACGACGGCACCAAUAACCUGACAAACAUGCCCGAUCGCACCUUUACCAGUGAACUCAUCGGUGAUUUUUCCACCUCCUGGCACCGCCUUCUUCGCAGGAGGUGUAGAAGGAGCUGCAGCAGCUGCGGCGGAAGUGGCGUAAUCAGCGACACGGUUUAGAAGGUAGCCAUAAGGAGAAGCACGUGAUUGAGAAGAGAGCCUUGAUGUUGAGGCGGAAAUGGAGGGUUUGGAAGAAGAUCGACGGAGAGAAGAUCGAAUCAGAGACGAUGCGAGUCUGCGUGAAGCCAUCUUCAGAGAGAGAAGAGGAGAGAGAGAGAGAGAGAUUUCUAGGGUUUGUGGAUUCAGAGAGGUAGUGACACUAUAUAACGCAGAAACCAAAAGCUACUUUGUUUGUUUCAUUUUCGCCUCGAUUCUUUUUCUAUUUUGCAUUUUUGUCCAUUUCACUGUUUGUUUAGUCAAUUAAGACAAUAAAAUUAAAUAUGUAAUUAUUAAUUAUUAAUAAUGAAUAAUAAAUUUUAAAAUCCAAAAUCAUAGUAUAUAGUAUAUAAUUAAAAAAAUUAACGUCUUUUUUUAAACAAUUAUAAUACUAGCAUAAAAAAGACCGAAUUAUAUAGUAUGUUAUUUUUUUCUCCCAAAUUCAGGAACCAAACAGAUUUGACGAGUAACUAGAAUUAUAUGCUUCACCACCGACCAAUUGUUGUAAGUUGUGUAAAUGAUGCCUGCGUCCAACGUUCAAAUUAAGGAAGUGUAAAAAUGUACAUGCUCGUGCUUCAGUUCCCCUUUAUUACAAAAAUAACACAACGGUAAAAAAAAAAGGGUAAUAGGCUAUAGUUCACGUUACAGUUGGAAAUAACAUCAAAAUUAAAAAAAAAAAUGAAUUACCGGAAAAAAAAAAUUUAAAUGCAAGAGAUCCUAAAUUAUUAAAUUUUAAGAGAAGCUCAAAUUUGUGUGUGAAUUGUGAUUAAGACGUGGCAUUUUCCUUAGCAAUCUUAUCUGCCUUUGCAAUGACUUCAUCAAUACCACCAACCAUGUAAAAUGCUUGCUCUGGGAGGUCAUCAUAUUUGCCAUUCAACACACCCUGCAUUAGUAUACACAGAAAAUCAGGUCAACCAGGUUCCUUUUUAACAAUGGGGGGAAUUCCAAUUAAACUGUUAAUUGAAAAAGUUUUCCAUCCAAAAUAUAUCCAUCUAUUUGUAUGAUUUUAAAGUAAUUAUAAUUAAAGUCAAAUAUUUUUAAUGAUUUAAGAGUUGUAAUUUAUUGAUUGGACAAAAGUUAUUACAGUGUAGUAUAUAAAUUAAAUUCAAAUCUUAAACAAACACCCUACAACCUUUUAACAAUAUUUGUUUUUAAUAUUAUUUCAUUAAAAAAAAUGAAAUAUAAAACUAAUAAUAAGUUGUAUUAGAAACAUAAUUCCUAGUGGCAGCAAAAAAGAAAAAGAAACAUAAUUCCUAGCUCAAAUCAGGAAUAGCCGAAUAUGUCCAACACAAACCAAUAGAUCCAUCUUGAGUCUUUCCCCCAAUAAAAUCAAGAGAUCCAUAUCAGAUAUGGAAGUGUAUUAUUAAUUUCUAGUCGAUUCAUCAAAAAAGGAGCAAAAACAGCUCCCAAACAAAACUAUCAUUAUCAGGUAGCCAAAUAUAUUCGAAAGCAAUGAUUUGAAAGUAAAAAUAGAUUGUGAAAAUUUUCAGUUUUGAAAACUCAAUUUUAAAUAUAGAAUAAAUGACAAAUAAUAUCACUAGGGGUAAAAUGAAAUUACAGUAACCAACAAAUAAGUACCUGGAAACUAUUAGUGUUCUCCUUCAACUCAACAUAUUUCCCUGGGGCACCAGUGAAAACUUCUGCCACAUGGAAAGGCUGGCUCAAGAAUCGUUGAAUUUUACGGGCACGUGCAACCGUCAACUUAUCAUCUUCACUAAGCUCGUCCAUUCCCAAAAUGGCAAUGAUAUCUUGAAGAUUCUUGUAGUUUUGAAGUACUUGUUGUACACCACGAGCAGUUUGGUAGUGUUCAUCACCCAAAAUAAGUGGAGAAAGCAUGCGAGAUGUUGAAUCCAAUGGAUCAACAGCAGGAUAGAUACCAAGCUCAGAUAUCUAUAUUAAACAUUAAUCCAAAACACAUUAUUUAGUUGAUGUUGAUAGGCAAAAAUAUCAAUACAAUUGCCACUUUAUAAGUUUAAUUAUCAAACCUGUCUUGACAACACUGUUGUAGCGUCCAAGUGAGCAAAGGUGGUAGCAGGAGCAGGAUCUGUCAAGUCAUCAGCAGGCACAUAGAUAGCUUGGACAGAGGUAAUUGAACCCUUCUUUGUGGUUGUAAUACGCUCUUGAAGACCUCCAAG
rnacentral:lncRNA from 1 species